rnacentral:rRNA from 1 species
UGGGGAAUAUUGCACAAUGGGCGAAAGCCUGAUGCAGCAACGCCGCGUGAGUGAUGAAGGCCUUCGGGUUGUAAAGCUCUGUCUUCUGGGACGAUAAUGACGGUACCAGAGGAGGAAGCCACGGCUAACUACGUGCCAGCAGCCGCGGUAAUACGUAGGUGGCAAGCGUUGUCCGGAUUUACUGGGCGUAAAGGAUGCGUAGGCGGAUACUUAAGUCAGAUGUGAAAAUCCCGGGCUUAACUUGGGAACUGCAUUUGAAACUGGGUAUCUAGAGUGCGGGAGAGGAGAGUGGAAUUCCAAGUGUAGCGGUGAAAUGCGUAGAGAUUAGGAAGAACACCAGUGGCGAAGGCGACUUUCUGGACCGUAACUGACGCUGAGGCAUGAAAGCGUGGGGAGCAAACA